UGGGGAGCAAUAAAAAUUUCACAGACAUUGGGUUAAAAACAUUAAGAAAAUGAAUGUAAGGCUGCAGAAGGAAAAAAACCUACAAAGGUGGAGCUGGAGAAAGAGGCGCAAUGGAGUCUUUAUGGAUGAGGCCCUGUUCCACUUUGGUUUCUUAAAUCAUGAGGAUUCUUUUCUCUCUCUCAACUUCUACUGCAUCUUCUCACCAUCACCAAUGAUGGGCAUGUUUCUGAAUUCUAUGCAGCUAAAGAAACCUUUCAUUCCUAUAACUCCAUAGAAAUCACAAUGAUUAACUAGAGAUCAUAGUCAAAUCUGGGGGAGGAAGGAUUGAUAAACUAAGUCACAUUGUGUUUCCUUAUUGCUAUUUUUAAAUUUUCCUGUUUAUAAGCUAGGAGACACUACUGAUCCAAUUUACUUUUGAAGAAUACAAGCUCAUUUAUUAAAACUUAAUUUGCCCCUUGUUUUUAAAAUCUGAUUAUCCCUGCAAAUUAAAUUUCAUAAUUUUUUAGUUAUGUAAUUUUACAUAUUUAAAUGACAUAAUUUUACAAAGUCAUUUAUUGGCUGUCCCAUUUUUGUUUCCCUGAUUAAUAUUUCCUAAUUUCAUUCCUGUUGCCCAGCAUGAAUUUUUGCAUCAAGUUUGACUUUUUACUGUUAUAUUAAAAGCUAUAUUUCCUGAGGAAUUGUUUCUGGAUAUGAGUUUGUAUGUAUAUGUUGUAUUUAUGUUGGUAUGUGUGUGUGUGUUUGUGAAAGGGAGAGUAUAUCCAAGACAAGCCCUUCCAUCUAGUCUUUAACUUUUUAGCAUCACUCAGACUAAAACAAUAGCUUUUAUUUUACACAGAUACAUACACACAGACAUGGGCACACACACAUAGUCAUGCCCACACAGAGACUUGCACUGGAAUAGAUACGGGCAUGCACACAAUUAUUGACACAGACACAGACGUGCAUACACACAUAGACAUGCAGCACUCAGACAUGGGCACACAUACACACAGGCAUCAUGCACACACGCAGACAUGGCCUUGCAGAGACAUUGACAUUCACACUUACACAAAGACACACUCUUUCCCUUCUGAUAAGGAGUCCUGUCCUGCUGAAAACUCAGCUUAUUUUUCCCAGUGGCUAAUGUAGAAAUAUCUUAUCUUUACUUAAUAUGUUAACAGGUACCUUAUAACAAACACAAAGUCUCCCAUCUGGAUCUACUUUCUAUGCAAAGGGAAUUCAGAAAAUUCUUCCCGUGUUUGUCUUGAGGCUGGGAGAGGUAUGUCCAUGCUGAAAACAAAACAAAACAAACCAUGAUUGUUGGGUGACUUCCUCAGCAACUCUCCACCUUAUGGUUUAGAGGUAGGCUCUCUUUCAAGUUGAACCUGUAACUCACCAGUUUGACAAGAGUAGCUGUCCAGUGAAUUCCAGGGACCCUCCUAUCUCAUCUUCCCCGCACUGGGUUUGUGGGCUCAGUUUUUCACAUGACUGGUGGGUAUUAAACUCUGUUCUUCUGUUUGCACAGUAAGCACUAUACCAGCUGAGUGGUCUCCCCAGUUCCUCUUCCCUUGUUUUAAUGGAUCAUCUUAUAACUUCUGGUUUUUAUCUUGUGUGACUGUUCAGUGCUUUAUGGGCAAUAUGAAGGGGGCACUGUCAAGUUCUGUUAAAGUGAACGGCUCUUGAGAAAGUAAGAGUGAGGCAUCUUGGGCAAUGUUGGCCAGUACCUGCAGCACCUCUAGUACCACUCAGGCAAGUAACCUUCUACUUUCUUUUGAGUCUUUCCCCUAUUAGCACUGAUUUAAUUUAAACAGGGUGUUUAAUAAAAGGGUUUUCUUCAUUUCCUUUAGUAUAAGUUCUCACACUUGAUAGUGAUGUUUUGAAUGUGUCAAGGUAGGUUUGGCUAGAUAUUUGUGUGAUCUAAAAGAAACAGCCAGGGGUAGAAAGAUGGCUCAGUGGAUGAAGUGCUCCCUCACAAGCUUGAUGGCCCAAAUCCAGUUGCUAGAUUCUAGGUAAAAACACCAACCAUGGAUGCAUACCCUUGUAAUCCUUGCAGUGGCGAGGCAGAUUCUUGGAGCCCACUGUCCAGUCAAUUUAG
rnacentral:lncRNA from 1 species